rnacentral:rRNA from 1 species
AGCGAACGUUAGCGGCGGGCUUAACACAUGCAAGUCGAACGAGAAUGAGGGAGCAAUCUCUCUAGUAAAGUGGCGGACGGGUGCGUAACACGUGGGUAAUCUACCUUCCGGCGGGGGACAACAGUCCGAAAGGAUUGCUAAUACCGCGUACGUCGGCGAGGGCUAAGGUCCUUGUCGGGAAAGAUGGCCUCUCCUUGGAAGCUGUCACCGGAAGAUGAGCCCGCGGCCCAUCAGCUAGUUGGUGAGGUAAUGGCUCACCAAGGCUAAGACGGGUAGCUGGUCUGAGAGGAUGAUCAGCCACACUGGGACUGCGACACGGCCCAGACUCCUACGGGAGGCAG